rnacentral:tRNA from 1 species
CUGCUCUGAUAGCUUAACGUUAAAGCGCUG